rnacentral:rRNA from 1 species
GACGAACGCUGGCGGCGUGCCUAAUACAUGCAAGUUGAGCGAUGAAGCUUGGUGCUUGCACCAAUUUGAAGAGCAGCGAACGGGUGAGUAACGCGUGGGGAAUCUGCCUUUGAGCGGGGGACAACAUUUGGAAACGAAUGCUAAUACCGCAUAACAACUUUAAACAUAAGUUUUAAGUUUGAAAGAUGCAAUUGCAUCACUCAAAGAUGAUCCCGCGUUGUAUUAGCUAGUUGGUGAGGUAAAGGCUCACCAAGGCGAUGAUACAUAGCCGACCUGAGAGGGUGAUCGGCCCCAUUGGGACUGAGACACGGCCCAAACGCCUACGGGAGGCAGCAGUAGGGAAUCUUCGGCAAUGGACGAAAGUCUGACCGAGCAACGCCGCGUGAGUGAAGAAGGUUGUCGGAUCGUAAAACUCGGUUGGUAGAGAAGAACGUUGGUGAGAGUGGAAAGCUCAUCAAGUGACGGUAACUACCCAGAAAGGGACGGCUAACUACGUG